GCCGAAGCCACAGCUGUCGUUCGGUCGAGUGAAGUCCGUAUCUCCCAAGCGCCGCCAUAGUUAAUGCGCGUCACUUCUGUUGAGAGACGGGGAAAUAUUGCCGAUUAUCAUGGAAAUGAAAGAAGAAAACGACUAUUCGGCCGAAAAUCGCGACAGGUCUCGUUCUCCUGUUGAUGAAGACAGUCGUGAUAGGGACCGUGACCGUGAUGGAGACAGCAACGAACGUGAAAGGGACCGUAAUCGCCGCAUGGAUCGCAGCAGAAGGACAGAUAGACAGAGGGGUGGCGGACGGCGUGCUCCAGUGGAGAGACGCAUCUAUGUUUCCAACAUUCCUUAUGAAUACAAGUGGCAGGACUUGAAGGAUCUCUUCCGCAAAGAAGUGGGUGAAGUUUCAUAUGUGGAAAUGUUCAAUGAUGAAAACAACCGCCCUCGAGGUUGUGCUGUCAUUGAGUUUGAGUCCACAGAGUUAGUACAAAAGGCCGUGGAGAUAAUGCACAGAUACGAGUUGAAAGGACGUAAACUUGUUGUAAAGGAGAAAGCAGAUGAACUACCCCUGGCCCAUUUAGCUCAAAUUCGGCUUGGAAACAGAAUGGUAAGCAGUGACACAAUGGACUUUGAUUCUGACCGUGAACGACACAGAGGAGGCAUAAUGAAAUCUGACAUGCGAGGAGGUCGUGAAUUUGCUCGUGGGGCAGAUAUUGGACCUCAGGGCAUGGCAAACAAAUUUGGGAAUACAUUUGGCUUGUCUACAGUAUUCCUUGAAUCUCUUGGCAUCACUGGACCUCUUGUUAACAAAGUUUUUGUUGCUAAUCUUGAUUACAAGGUUGAUGAAAAAAUGUUGAAAGAUGUUUUUAAAAUAGCUGGAAAGGUUGUGUCUGUUGAGAUUAGUAAGGACCAAGAUAACAAGAGUCGUGGAUUUGGCGUUGUGGAAUUUGAGCAUCCAGUGGAGGCUGUACAAAGUAUUUCUAUGUUGCACAACCAGACAUAUUAUGACCGCAAGAUGAGUGUACGCAUGGACCGUGUCUCUGAAAAGCAGGAAUCAACAGCAACGAAACUUCCUCCUGGCCUUAAGGGUCUGGGAAUGGGUCUGGGCAUUAAUGGGUCAGCCCUUACGGAUGUUGCCAAUAAUGUACCCUCCAUUAACCCAAGUAUCACAGGAGCUUUACCAAAUGCAGUUGCCCAAGGGGUGACAGGCAUGGCCAAUGUGGGUGCCAUGGCAUCAAACAUGGGGAACAUGGGUGGAGGGGGUGGUGGUGGCCAGAACAUGGGUGGGAUGGGGAUGAUGGGCAUGGGAGGAGGAGGAAUGGGUGGUGGCAUGGACAACAUGAACAGUGGAAUGGGAGGGAACAUGGGUGGUGGUGGAAUGGGUGGAAAUAUGGGGGGAGGCAGCAUGGGAGGUAACAUGGGAGGUGGUGGCAUGGGUGGUGGAAUGGGAAAUGGGAUGAUGGGCAACAUGGGGAUGGGAACUGGCAUGGGAAACAUGGGUUCAGGCAUGAACUCCUCAAACAUGGGUUCAGGCCUGGGGGGUGGUCUCGGGAGUAGCCUGGGUGGUGGGAGUGGGUUCAUGAACUCCAACAUGAACCGAGGAGCCAUUGGGGCCAGCUCAGUAGGGAGUGGCUCAGGCAGUGGGUAUGGUUCCUAUGGAUCAACUGGACUGUCCCGCGACUACAACCAUUCCAGCAGCAGCAGCAACAGCUACACCAGGAAUGUCAUUCAGCUGAGCAAUUUACCCAUGGAUUAUACCUGGCAAGCUCUGCGCGAUCUUUGCCGUGAGUUUGGAGACAUAAGGUUUGCUGAGAUCAGAUCGAAGGGCACCGGAACUGUGCGCUUCCAGACAGAGGCAGAUGCUCGUAGAGCAGUUGAAAUGCUUGAUCGCCAACGUCUGGAUGGAAGAAUCCUGGAUGUUUGCCAGCUUUAAUGCUAGUCAGAGGGGAGAUCACCAGGACUGUGUUGGGAAAGGGUCGCGACUCCACUUGGGAGUUGCACCACCUUGCCACACGUCGAAAGGGAUGAGAGGGGCGUGUUUUAUACGAAGAAAGACAACUGACAAGCUGCAACCCAAGGUAAGCACUGGAUCGAAGCAGGUGAGUGAGAGCAGAAAUGAUUGCCAAUGGUGGGUGUUGCUAUUUUUGUUUUUAGUAGUUUAGGUGUAGGCAGAUGAAAGUUAGUGCAGUUAGUUUAUUAUAGAAUCCAGUUUAGCUUGUGCUUUGUACUUAGCUCCUCAAACACACUACUAGUCUCAGUGAAAGAGGGUCACUUCAAAAAUGUAUUAAUGGGGUGGUAAUAAUGAUACUCUUUAGAGAUUGAUCACGCAAGUUUGGUUUAAGAAAAUUAAAAAUCCAAUUGGUAGCUUCAAGUACUAUAUGUGGGAGUAUAAAAAUGUCAAAUGUCGAAUAUCAAAUAUCAAAUAAAGUACCAGUGGUUGAACUGUGCUUCACAGAACAUUGGACAUUGGCAUAUAUCAUAUAUUGGCAUAAAGUGUAUUAUUUUCGAAGAUAGUAAGUUCCUGUUGAAACAUGUUCUUCGUAAACUAUUCUAGAAAUAGUAUGAUCAAUAAUUUCCGACAACUGCAACAGCUAGUAUGUAGAAUUUUAAGUCCUUCAUUUGUAAUUUGUUUGAUUUAAGUCAGCUUUAGAGGAAAAGUAAAAGUUCAUACAUUUUCUUCUUUAUAUUUCGCGUAUUCAGUUGAGAUCACUGGUAAUAGAAAUCAAAUAUUUUAGGGCUUUAGUUGUAGAGUAGCUAGUUCAAGAGAUGUACAUUUUUUUCCAACUUGAAAAAAUAAAAAGACAAAAUUCA